rnacentral:rRNA from 1 species
CCUGCACGAAUGGCGUAAUGAUGGCCAGGCUGUCUCCACCCGAGACUCAGUGAAAUUGAACUCGCUGUGAAGAUGCAGUGUACCCGCGGCAAGACGGAAAGACCCCGUGAACCUUUACUAUAGCUUGACACUGAACAUUGAGCCUUGAUGUGUAGGAUAGGUGGGAGGCUUUGAAGUGUGGACGCCAGUCUGCAUGGAGCCGACCUUGAAAUACCACCCUUUAAUGUUUGAUGUUCUAACGUUGACCCGUAAUCCGGGUUGCGGACAGUGUCUGGUGGGUAGUUUGACUGGGGCGGUCUCCUCCUAAAGAGUAACGGAGGAGCACGAAGGUUGGCUAAUCCUGGUCGGACAUCAGGAGGUUAGUGCAAUGGCAUAAGCCAGCUUGACUGCGAGCGUGACGGCGCGAGCAGGUGCGAAAGCAGGUCAUAGUGAUCCGGUGGUUCUGAAUGGAAGGGCCAUCGCUCAACGGAUAAAAGGUACUCCGGGGAUAACAGGCUGAUACCGCCCAAGAGUUCAUAUCGACGGCGGUGUUUGGCACCUCGAUGUCGGCUCAUCACAUCCUGGGGCUGAAGUAGGUCCCAAGGGUAUGGCUGUUCGCCAUUUAAAGUGGUACGCGAGCUGGGUUUAGAACGUCGUGAGACAGUUCGGUCCCUAUCUGCCGUGGGCGCUGGAGAACUGAGGGGGGCUGCUCCUAGUACGAGAGGACCGGAGUGGACGCAUCACUGGUGUUCGGGUUGUCAUGCCAAUGGCACUGCCCGGUAGCUAAAUGCGGAAGAGAUAAGUGCUGAAAGCAUCUAAGCACGAAACUUGCCCCGAGAUGAGUUCUCCCUGACUCCUUGAGAGUCCUGAAGGAACGUUGAAGACGACGACGUUGAUAGGCCGGGUGUGUAAGCGCAGCGAUGCGUUGAGCUAACCGGUACUAAUGAACCGU